CGCCCAGAUGGUGGCGGAGGCGGCUGAGCGGGCGGGGAUCGGAGUCCGGAGGGCCCAGGUCUGAGCGACCAGUCCAGUUCGCGGGCCGGCUGGCUUCACCGUCGGGACGCCGGGAUUCGGAGGGGCUCGGAGAGGCCGGGGGCUUCACCGGCAUAUAAGGAAGCUGAGGCACAGAGCAGUGACAGCACAGCCAGGAUCACGUGGGUAGUCUAUGAGGGAGCUGACUCCAAAUCCAGGCAGUGUGGAUCCCAUUCCUGCGCUCCUACUUACCUUGCUGCGGAGACAUUCUCCUUUUGUCAUCGCUGCUCCUCUGACUUCAAACAUAGUGUGUACCCUGCAAUGGAAAGAGAUUAGAAAUCAAGAGCGAAAGAAAAAAUGGAAAACUCACAAGUAUGUGGAAAUUAUACAACACACUCUUUUCUUUUUCUUUUUUUUAAAGAUUUUAUUUAUUCAUAAGAGACCCAGAGAGAGAGAGAGAGAGAGAGAAAGAGGCAGAGACACCACUGCAGAGGGAGAAGCAGGCUCCAUGCAGGAAGCCGGAUGUGGGACUCGAUCCUGAGUCUCCAGGAUCAGGCCCCGGGCUGAAGGCAGGCGCUAAACCGCUGAACCACCCAGGAUCCCUAUACAACACACUCUUAAGCAACCAGUGAGUCAAGGAAGAAAUCACGAGGGAAGUUAGCAAAUAUCUUGGAAACAAAUGAAAGCGAAAACACAACGUCCCAAAAUCUCAGGGAUGCAGCACAAGCCGGACUAAGAGGGAAGUUUAUAGCAGUAAAAUGCUUGCGUUAAAAAAGAAAGAUCUGAAAGCAAAAGUAAAAAUUCAAGCAUUGCAUAACUUUAUGCUAUAGAAAGCAAAAGUUUAAGAAAUGAAAGUCCUCCCUUGGUGCUCCUCCCUACAGAUAACCUCUGUUUACCAGUGCAGUAGGGAUGCUUUAGAUCAUCUUUUUUUCCAAGCUUGCAAGAAUACUAUCUGAAAAAAAAAAGCAAAAAUGAAAUAAUACAAUACACAUUGUUUCAUCA